UAAUACGAAGGGACCUAGCGUAGUUCGGAAUUACUGGGCUUAAAGAGUUCGUAGGUGGUUGAAAAAGUUGGUGGUGAAAUCCCAGAGCUUAACUCUGGAACUGCCAUCAAAACUUUUCAGCUAGAGUAUGAUAGAGGGAAGCAGAAUUUCUAGUGUAGAGGUGAAAUUCGUAGAUAUUAGAAAGAAUACCAAUUGCGAAGGCAGCUUUCUGGAUCAUUACUGACACUGAGGAACGAAAGCAUGGGUAGCGAAGAGGGUUAGAUACCCUCGUAGUCCAUGCCGUAAACGAUGUGUGUUAGACGUUGGAAAUUUAUUUUUCAGUGUCGCAGUGAAAGCGAUAAACACACCGCCUGGGGAGUACGACCGCAAGGUUAAAACUCAAAUGAAUUGACGGGGACCCGCACAAGUAGUGGAGCAUGUGGUUUAAUUCGAAGAUACGCGCAGAACCUUACCAACACUUGACAUGUUCGUCGCGACUCUAAGAGAUUAGAGUUUUCGGUUCGGCCGGACGAAACACAGGUGCUGCAUGGCUGUCGUCAGCUCGUGUCGUGAGAUGUUGGGUUAAGUCCCGUAACGAGCGCAACCCUCACUUUUAGUUGCCAUCAUUUAGUUGGGCACUCUGAAAGAACUGCCAGUGAUAAGCUGGAGGAAGGUGGGGAUGACGUCAAGUCCUCAUGGCCCUUACGUGUUGGGCUACACACGUGCUACAAUGGUAUCUACAACAGGAAGCAAAACGGCGACGUUAAGCAAAUCCUUAAAAGAUACCUCAGUUCGGAUUGCACUCUGCAACUCGAGUGCAUGAAGCUGGAAUUACUAGUAAUCGUGGAUCAGCGUGCCACGGUGAAUGCGUUCCCGGGUCUUGUACACACCGCCCGUCACACCAUGAAAGCCGGUUCUGCCCGAAGUAUGUGAGUCAACCGCAAGGAGACAGCGUCCUAAGGUGGGGCUGGUGAUUGGGAUGAAGUCGUAACAAGGUAGCCG
rnacentral:rRNA from 1 species